rnacentral:piRNA from 1 species
UAGCCUAACCUGCAGCUAAAACUUUAAAGAG